rnacentral:rRNA from 1 species
UACGUAGGGUGCGAGCGUUUGUCCGGAAUUACUGGGCGUAAAGAGCUCGUAGGUGGUUUGUCGCGUUGUUCGUGAAAACUCACAACUCAAUUGUGGGCGUGCGGGCGAUACGGGCAGACUGGAGUACUGCAGGGGAGACUGGAAUUCCUGGUGUAGCGGUGAAAUGCGCAGAUAUCAGGAGGAACACCGAUGGCGAAGGCAGGUCUCUGGGCCGAUACUGACGCUGAGACGCGAAAGCGUGGGUAGCAAACAGG